AAAGCUUUCAUGAAUAAGACGUACCUCCGCAGUUAGUAGUGACCGUCCUGUUUUUGAUUCCGCGAAUUCUGUAUUUCCGUAAACGCUGAUCAGGCAUCACGACGAUGGCCUGGCGGCAAGAUAAAAUGAUUGAUUUCAGGAAGUUUAAGUAUGUCUACUACUACCGGCACUGUUAAGUUCUUCAACGAAGCAAAAGGCUUUGGCUUUAUCACUCGUGAAGGCGGCCCGGACGUAUUCGUUCACUACAGCGCAAUUCAGGGCAGCGGCUUCAAGACCCUGGCAGAAGGCCAGCAGGUUGAGUUCACCGUUACCCAGGGCCAGAAAGGUCCUCAGGCGGAAAACGUUACUGCUAUCUAACGGAUAGUAGGGCACCGCCAGAAAGGCAGCCUCGGCUGCCUUUUUUUG
rnacentral:sRNA from 3 species